rnacentral:tRNA from 1 species
GAAGUUAUAGCUCAGUGGUAGAGUAUUUGCCUAGCAUGCACAAGGUCCUGGGUUCAAUCCCCAGUACCUCCA